AUUUAAUAUUUAAAUUAUACUUAUUCAAGAAACAUUUUACUAUCACAUCUCACUCUCCACGUUCAAAUGGGGAAUUCGUCUCUGACUUUUAAACCACAAUCUCAAGCUCCAUCGCCGCCGUGUCUGAGACUCCAACGAAAGUUGCCGCCGGCGAGCCACGGCCAUAGCUUCUGUCUUGACCCCGAUCUCCAUCUCUCAGCCCCUAAACUCCAUCCUCUCACCCAAAGAAACCCAAGCUCCCCAAAUCCACACCGCCUCUUCGCGAUUUCCGGCAACCACGGCAGCUACCCUAUCGCCGCCGCCCCUGAACUCUGGUGAAAGAUGCCGCCGGCGAGCCAACCAGAAAUCGAUCUGCCAUCUCCCUUCCCCCACAUGCACCACAAAUCGAAUAUUUUUUGCUUCCUUUCGGCUACAAUUGCAAGUUCCUUCUCCCCAUAUCGUCGAUCCUGCUGAAAAGUACAUAUCUUUGAUAAUUCCAGCAUACAACGAAGAGCACAAACUUCCAGGGGCUCUCGAUGAAACCUUGAAGUAAUCUAAAUUAUAUAAUCUAAUCAUUUGCUUUUCUGAAUUUGUAUACAUUGAUGAUAUGAUCUGGAUGUUUAUUUAUUUGAAUCAAACUUCCACAUUUUUAUUUCACUAAGUGAUAGUAUUAUGAUAGUAAAGGUUUAAUACCCUCGCUCAUUUUGGGAUUA